ACAGCCAUGGAAGCCACUGAAUCCUUCGACAUUGUAGCAGUUAUUGAGUUUGGUUUAUGAAGCGAGCGGAGACUCGGGCGCAGAUGUCGGGAUUAGCAUGUCCCGGGUAACAUGUUCGACUAACUUCGUAGUCAGACGCCACCAGCACUUUCUUUUCACGAGCAUGUAUGAGCUUAUAUUUGGUUUAUGUGGAGGAUAAACGCUUAAACAUUCACACAUUUAAUCGCCUGACAGGCGAAUUAGCUGCUAAUAGCUCGCUAGCUCUCCUGUCAGUUAAUUUAAGGCCAGCGUUUGAUGCUAAUGUCUUCAAUCAUUAGCUCGUUACACGACUAAAGGUGGAUUUGUUUCUCUUUGUCGUGUCUUAAGGUGAUAAUUGUGUGAUGAGUCGAUCCGCGAUCAUUUACAGUGGAUAACUUUGUCGUCGGUUCCGCUAGUGUGUUGGUACUGGCCCAGUUGGACCUGCUCUAUAUGUGUCCGAACCAAGGAAUCGUGAAGGCCGAAGCCUGUCGAUCCUAAAUAUUUGUUACAAAGUAAAACAAAUCUUAACCUGUUUGUUCUGGUGUGACACACUGUAAAGGUUCGGCUACACAUAACAUACAAGUACUUAACAUGUUAUACCUUCAUUUCUGUAUAAUGUUACACAAUGUCGUUAUUAGCUCACCAUAAAAUCUUUUGUUACUUUUUACGGUUAUGUAGUUUAAUAAUGUGUUCUUCUUGUGCCCAUUUGCACAAGAAUAACUUUUUGAUGCUUUAAAUAAUAAUAUUAUUUCUAAAAAUGGAUGAUAUUUUAAUGCUUAAAUUGGUAGCUAUUCAAACAAAAGAAAUACUUCCAGAUGUGGUAGGUUCACUCUACUUUAUUUUCUUAAACUGGGCUUAUUUAUUUUUAUUUUUUUUAUUUUUUUAUUAUUAGGCAUUCAACUUUGGAAAGCUGGAUUUGACUGAUAUGGAAUAGGAAUUAGGUAUGCUGUAUUUAGUAAUGAGUUGCAUAUAUUUUUCAUAUGUAUAUGUGUUUACGCAGCGUUGUAUUUGUGUGUACCAUUUCACUCGUCGAUGGUUCUUUCGGAAGUUAUGUUUCGCACCUCUUGCAUGAAGUGAUGUCGGCACUCUAUUCUGAACCGUUGCCCAACUAAUUUUAGUAACUUUCUUUAGUUAGUUUAGCUGCUUGUGCUCACUUGCCCACUCUCCUCGUGCCUCAGCCCGGGAAACAACGGCACUGUUUUGAAAAAUGAGGGCGGUUACCUGGUUGAUCCUGUUGCUAGCACAUGUGCCUGUCAAAGAUUGCACGCAAGUUCAAGUACAAACCGCCAGUUCAGUGAAACUAGGAGUAGCUCUUAUUGAGUUACUGAAGUGAGAGCAUGGUUUCCCCCUCAGCAACUUCUUCCUGAUUUUUUUUUUUUAUUAAUAUUUCUUUUCAUUUUGAAGGCUUCAGAACAGUCUUGCGUUUUUAUAUUUAUGUCAUGAACGCUGGUAUGCCAAUGCAUGACUGUAAGUUUUCUGGUUGAUCGUGCUGGUGUAAUAUGUUGUUCAGUGACGGAGGCUGUCUAUGCAGGUUUUUAGGAUUCUAAGACGAGGUGUCUCACAUUUGGAUUUGGUACAGGUAUAUAUGGCAUUGCGGCAGGAUGUUUUCAAACUGUAACUUUGUUUCCUGCAGCUUGAGGGCAAAAUUUUAUGGAAUUAAUACAACUCAAAUGCUCAUUUUUUUUCUCUUUAAUUUGAGUCAGGAUGAAAAUAUCCCCCUCUGUCGCACAAAUAAAUGAUAUUUAAUCUAAUCUCCAGUAAGACUCACAGAGUCAACAACGUUAACAGCUUCAGAUGUCCCACCAAUAGCAGUGUAUUUCCAUACCACGUUCACUAAUCAAAUGUGGCUGCAUAGCCGUGGGUUCACAAAGGCAUAAUUUCUAUCUAAUCCAGCAAAAGUGAAACACCCAACCAGACUUAGUAUAUGCCUUAUCGAAAUGAAAAGCAAGACCGUUGACUUGUUUGGAACUUGGAGAGUUGGUCAUGGUAAUAUUGUUUAGUAGUGAUCAGCUGAGGAGGCACUUAAAACAGGAAAACAAUUGCAGUUAACCCAGUCGCUGGAUUUUGUGUUGUGUUUGUUUUAUAGUACUUAACAUUAGGCCUGCACGAUUCACGGGAAAAUCUGAGUCACAAUUUUUUAGCUAAGAAUUGAUAUCGCAAUUCUCUGCCACGUUUUUUUUCCCCUAAUGAAAUACGUAGUUUAUUGCACACAUAAACCAUGACAAAACAAAGUUGCAUCGCCAGGCAUGUGACGUUUGAGGUGCUGAUAAAGAUUUGUGGUAGCGAUGCUCCGAUCAGGGUUUUUGCUGCCGAUCAGGAUACCGAUCACAUGAAUUGACAAUGAAUUUGUAGUCAAAAUGAAGAGACCUUCUGUGUCGAAGAUGUGAUAACAAAUCAUUUUAACUCAGAAAGGUUUUAUUAUACCUCUUCUAGAAGGCAAAAAAAUCUUGCAGAAUGCAGCAACUUAUUAUAUAAAAAUUGAUACAACUGAAAAACAUGUAAUUUGGGAACUCAGAAAAUAGUAGCUUGCAGCGCCGCUUGGGAGCGUAAAACUCACAAAGGAAAUUAGCGUUUGUGAUGCAAAGCCAGUCGGUUUGCAAAUUAAAUCAGACACAAGGGUGAAUCGAAAUCGCAUUUUUUUUAAAAAAGAUUUAUCGUGCAGGCCUACUUAACAUUGAGAUUUUACAGGAAAGAGGCUGCUGCCCCGUCCAGGAUAAGUAGCCCUCUAUGACUUGAUGUGGACAGUCAUUUUCUUUAUUUCAAUCUAUCCCACACUACAUAUGAUUGAGUUUGAGGAAGCAGUACUUACUGUAAAAAUUGUAACGUCUUCUUUGCCACUUUGCCAUAUGAGCUGUACAACACCCCAUUAAAAACAACCAUUCUGUUACCACAUUGUUGGGAUGACACGUGCUGAGUUAGCAACAGUCCACUUAGGUCUUUAUCAUCACAUCAUAUCAUCAUCAUAUCAUAACCAUCAUAUCGUCACCAUGAGGCACUCUUACAUCUUUCGUUUGGUGAUUCGUGGUUACUAUGUAUUCUAUUAGUUUUAUUUUAAUUGGUGAAUCAAUGUUUUUUUAGUUGUGGAAGCAGAGGUUAAUUUAGAGAAGCCCAUCAUUUAAUGACAACCAUGGCCUCUUGUGAAUUGUGUAUGUCGCCUUUUUGCCACUAACAGUGCAGCUCCUGUAGAGUGCUCCUAAUCUGUAGUGUGUUGGGUGUUGAAAUAGGGGGAAAGUAAGGACACAAAGAAGGUGUCGUGAGAUGCCAAGAGUGAUUCAACAAACAAGUCACCCCAUCUCCAAUUGAUCUGCUAAUGGACAUAUGAAUGUCAGUACUGGUCCACAAUGCAAAUGAAUAAGUCUCAUUAUCAUGGGUUCCAGUUCAUCAUACAUCUAUUUACCAUGCUGACCAGGCUCUCCUUGCAAUGGGCCAAUUGGGAUAGGUGUUGUUGAACGCUUUUGGGAUACAUUGGGGAAAUGAUGCAGCGAAAUGAUGCAGUGUAAUCAUGACAUAGUCGGUCAGCCUUGAAAAGGCAGACAGAAAUAUUGGUACCACAAGCACAGAGGUGUGUGUCUCAAUUCAAAUGUUUAUACCAGUUCAAGUGGGUCAUGUUCAGUUUUAUCAUCUGCCUUCCCUUACCUCAAUGUUAUUUUACUCUCGAUUUUCCCUCUUUCGACUUUGCGACUGUACGGUUAGAAACCUGCAGCAUUAGCAGCUGUUAUUUAUGGCUGUGGUUGGAGGUCAUGAAGUGAGAAUAUUGAGUAUUGACCCUCGAUGUCGCCCAGCUGGCCCACACUGUUGUUUUAUGGUCUGCCAUGUAUGAGCAGUUGGCCACCAUGUGAUGAGGGGGAUAAAGGCUGACAGCAAAUGUUUCUGCUGGACUAGAAUCCUGCCUGAUAAUAUUUCUAGCCUUCCGUUUUUUUCCAUUCACUAUCAGUCAGUAAAUACAUUUCACCUGUAAUAAGUGCAGAAUCUCUCUGUCAUGUAGACAAGCAUCGAUAGAUACUCAAACAGUCUGAAAUAAUUACAAAGUUUACCCACUUUAGUUCCUCAUACGGUAGUACAGAGAUUAUUUUAACCAGCUCUAUAUCAACUAAAUAUUUUUGCAAUACACACAUCUGUGUAUUUCUUAAACGCAGAGAACUGUGGAAAUUGUAUGUUUUUCUGUAACAAAUCCAUGGGGGAUUAUAUUACUCAGAUAAUCUGGGGUAUACAUCUUUCAUGAACUUUGAGGGAUAUUAAUAUUUAAAUAUGAUGUUUAUGUUUUCUGGGCAUUUUUUUUCCUACUGUCCUAUACUGACACAGUUGUAUUUUUUGUUUUUAACUGAGUUAGCCUUUGUUUUUUUCCCCACAAGGGAAAGAGCAAACUUCUUAAUUCGUUGCUGAGUGUGACACAAGUUGGUAUGAAAUAAACGCAUACACUAUUGGUUCAAGGGAACCAGUGAAGUUCCUAUUUGGUGGCCAACUAUACUUUGGUUAUAUGCAUUUGCGUUGCUUUUGAGCUCAAUUCUUUUGUGGCUUCAAUCCGUCACCACUCUUGGUCCACUCUCAUUAAUUAGUCGGCCAAUUUCUACCUCUGUUUUCAUUUCUUGAAUUUACACCUGCAUUGUCCUUGACCAGACAAUGGAGAUUAACCAAACUGCAUUGUCUACAAUUUUUAAAAUAGACAGUCACUUUGCUAUCUUAUUUUAAUGUGUGAAUUCUGUCUGCAUUUAUUUUGGUAGUCAUAUCAAUCUUAACUUUCUUUAUUUUGCAUCAAUUUCCAUAUUCAUAGUUUGUUGAAUCUCCUUUAUUUUCUCUAUGCCACACAAAUGGGAACAUAACACAUAAUUGUGGUCCCAUUUCAAAAUUGUUUUCUUCUGAUGUUGGUGGUCACCUCUGUCAAUGUCGAUGCAUGUGCGAAAUAGGAUGACUAAAGUCGGUGUUGCAGCACACCGAGAUGCUCUCAGCCUCGACUUCAUGCACAUAACAACCAGCUCUUUUGUCCCUACUUUGCCCCGAUCCUCCCACACAGUCCUCAUGAUGUCCCAGAGACAGAGUGUCUUUAUCCCUGCCUUCCAAAGACCCAUCUCGCUCACAUGUUUUAGGCUCAGUACAAAAAGAUGGCAGCUUAAAUGGACAAAAAUGUGCUUUCGGUAAUGGCGGCCACCCACCAAGCAUUUGACACCGAGCAUUGUGUCGCUACUCGCAUUUAAAAUCAGUUUUAGUGUUUUAGGGAUCUGUUAUGUUCAGGUGAAAUGAAUUGCUCUCUUCUUUGUGCCUUCUUUUUUGACUAUGUUGAAGUGUUCUGUAUGAUGGGGGAGGAGACAAGAGGGGGUCUGGCCAGAGGCUUGCCAAAUCAGAUGGAAGAGCAGUUUGGAAGGGGAUGGCACAGUAAAGGAGGCGAGUGAGGGAACAAGACGGAGAGGGAGGAGUGGAUGGAAGAGAAAGUGACAGUGUGGUGUGUGUUGCUAGGAAAAAAGAUACUGGGAGGAAGAGAGUAAAUGGGUGAGGUUUAUAUAAAAGGCGGGGUUGUGGUUGCGUCACAUGAUCUAUUGGCAGAGUGGCCUAGUAAGCUCCAGGUGGCAGAGAAGCUAGAAGAGAAAAAGGAACCGGACACAAAAGAUUCCGAGCUGUCCCGCUCCUGCCCGCUUCUCUCCGGCACCUCUGCAGUCCUGGCCCAGUAGGGCCAGGGAAUGACCCGGCAGCAGGAUGCCUUACGUGGACAGGCAAAAUCGUAUCUGUGGCUUCUUGGACAUCGAGGAGAACGAGAGCAGUGGCAAGUUCCUGCGUCGAUACUUCAUUCUGGACACACAGCAGGGCAGUCUAGUCUGGUUCAUGGACAACCCACAGAACUUGCCGAUCGGUGCAGAGUGUGUGGGAUCGCUUAAGCUCACGUACAUUUCCAAGGUCAGUGAUGCAACCAAGCUGAGGCCCAAAGCGGAAUUCUGUUUUGUCAUCAAUGCUGGGAUGAGAAAGAUCUUCCUGCAGGCUAACGAUCAACAGGACCUCGUGGACUGGGUCAACGCGCUCAACAAAGCCACUAAGAUCACUGUUCCAAAAACAACAGAUGGCCAGCAGAAUUCUGAGACCCUGAAGUGUGUAACUGAUGUCUCUGGACCUAAAAAACAAGUUUCCUACAAGACUGAAAUUAUUGGAGGAGUUCCCAUUGUUACUCAGACACAGCAUGAAGGGACAGAUGGCGCUGACCGAACCGAACGUGAGGCCAUGCAUCGCUCGCACAGUCAGCUGCCGUACUUCUUGGGCCGACCGACUCAGGAGCACACGGUCAUCAAGUCAGGAUACUGUGUCAAACAAGGAGCAGUGAUGAGGAACUGGAAACGUCGCUAUUUCCUUCUGGAAGAAAACUCAAUGAGCUACUUCAAAUCUGAUUUGGAGAAAGAACCUUUAAGGAUGAUUCCACUCAAGGAGGUUCACAAAGUCCAGGAGUGCAAACAGAGUGACAUCAUGAUGCGAGAUAAUCUCUUUGAGGUUGUCACGACUUCCAGGACGUUCUACAUUCAGGCGGACAGUCCAGAGGAGAUGCACAGUUGGAUCAAAGCUGUUUCUGGGGCCAUUGUGGCUCAGCGGGGGCCCGGGAGGUCUGCUGCCACAAUGCGGCAGGCCAGACGGCUGUCGAACCCUUGUAUACAGAGGUAUACAUCCCGAAUCGGGGAGUGCAGCAGCACCCUGCUGCAGCUCUGUACCUGUCUUAGAUGUGUGACUUCCUGCUUGUCUCUUCUCCUCCCUCCUGUCCACUGCCUGUAUGUUUUUCUCCUUUCUUUGUCAUUUACACUGACGUUCAGUCUGUGCUAACUCUUCAGGAGCAUCAAAGUCAGUGUGAGGAAUUAAUUCUUGCUGAAGUAACUGUUAACAAUAAUGACAUUAUGUCAUGUUUUCAUUUGAUUAAUGGGAUUUAUGGGACAUUUGUGUGUCAUAAAUCUACAUCUGUGGCUUCAUCCACGCUUAAGUGAACUCAUUUUUAAAUUAAAUUUGAAUCUAAUGUCAACGUUUCGCUGCACAAACUUUCAGUUCAGGCUGUUACGCAUUUAUAAUAUUGCAAUUCAUUUUUUGAUUAAAAAAUGUUAAUGGUGUCACAUUAAUAAUUGUUCUAUUUACAAUUGAAAUUUUUGCAGAUGUCUUUGAUAAGCUGCUUGAAAAAUAGCUCCUGCAAAUUCUUAAUGUUGCAUAUUUUGCUCAGUCAAUGACUGCGGUUCCAUGCAGAGUGUAACUCGACUAAUGCAGUAGCUCGACUAAGCCGCUGAGUCGGAUUGCGUCCUGGUUUGCAUUUAAAAUCGAACUAUGAGUAGCUCACCUCCGUGAAGAGGUGUGGCAUCUUGAGUCCGUCCAGUUCCUACGUUAUAGUGACACCGAUCGUGCACGUCAGAGUGAUUGUUCGAUGCAGACUGUCAUGCACAGACUCUUGCUUUUGCUCACCGGUGUUGGCCCCGACUCACUUAGCAGCCAUGCUUAAGAUUGCAAGCGUAGUGGUAAUGCCGCCUCCUUAAACCAACAAAUCAUGCCUUCUAUCUUCUUGUGGGAACUUACGAACAAAACGACAUGAGUGAAGGAAGUUGAAGACAAAUAUACACAUCUACAGAGCAUGGUUGAGUUACAAAACACAGCAGAUAUCAGGUUCAUCAUGUGUUCUUUGCAGACAUGGGCUAACACCGAGGAACACACUACUACAUCAGGGUACACACACAACUUCUCGAUUGUAAAUAAGGUUGUUAGACAUCAUUCGCCCGUGAUUAGUCUACGAGUUAGUUUAUUUCUACUGUGUAGCUGAGGCUCGUGCAGCUGUACAUCACCCAGUCCGCUCAUAGUGGAGCUACUCGGCUACAUGCUAGCUUCAUCGAGUUACUAACCGCAUCGUCCAGGUCGUGUAGUCCGACUAAGACAAAUUCCACUUUCUUUACAGUAGUUGGACUAAGCUGUUUAUAUGCAUUUUAAAAGUCCAAACGUAGCCGGACUAACACAAUAAUUCAGUUUUCUGAGCCGUCAUGUAACCACAGUCAGUGUUUGGGACAUACUUGAUAGCAUGUCUGUGAAACAAAAAUCAUGCUUGGUUUGCUUUGCGGAGUUGCAAACAAGUGGCAUGAGAUUACUCUACUCAGUAUCUGACAGGAUUCUGGCAUGUUUUAGAACUACUCUCACUUCAGACAGUUGAUACUUGAUGAUUGGAUGAUGAGGUUUCAUGAAACUGUGCUCGGUAGGUGGCGCUCUUGGUUGUAAAAUGAUGUGAGGUGUUAUUGAAUUCAUUGUUUUGAUUGUAUUGAAGAGAUUGCCAUCUAGUGGCCUCAGAAGACGAGGACUGUGUCAUGAAACCUCAUCACUAUCUUACAUAAAGAUGCACAGAAUGUUUGGGUUUGUGGAUUAAGCCUGGAUUAAGUGUCUUGAUGCGCCUUGUUUUCUCGUGUCACUAACUGCUUUCUCUUUUUCUACCUUGGCUCCUGCAUCUUCUCUCCUCCCGUCGGUCUCUUCUGUGUUUCAGAGAUUGAAAUCUGAAAGUUAAACGCUGACGAAUGACUGACUACUGCUUCGUUAAACACUCUUCCACUACCGAAACUAAAACCUGCUGACACGACUACCACUCUUUCUUCUACUACUACUGCUCUUUCCACCACCUCCACUCUUGCAAUGCUACUUCCUCCAGCACCUUCAACUUCCAGCAUUACCGUCGCUGCAUCAGGCCGGUGCUAACACCAAGACGCCGGCAGCCGUUCCACUUUCUACCGGAGCCACGCGGGUCCCCCAAUCCCUCGCUCGCCCAUAUCUGCCGUGCCACCAUGCUACCCAGAGUGGGGCGCUGCUGUCACGUGCGGCCCACGCUCGCAGCCUGGCGUGGGACAGCGAG